AGCUCCAAUAGCGUAUAUUUAAGUUGCUGCAGUUAAAAAGCUCGUAGUUGGAUUUCGGGCGGGGCCUGCCGGUCCGCCGUUUCGGUGUGCACUGGCAGGGCCCGCCUUGUUGCCGGGGACGGGCUCCUGGGCUUCACUGUCCGGGACUCGGAGUCGGCGCUGUUACUUUGAGUAAAUUAGAGUGUUCAAAGCAGGCCUACGCUCUGAAUACAUUAGCAUGGAAUAACACGAUAGGACUCUGGCCUAUCCUGUUGGUCUGUAGGACCGGAGUAAUGAUUAAGAGGGACAGUCGGGGGCAUUCGUAUUUCGAUGUCAGAGGUGAAAUUCUUGGAUUUUCGAAAGACGAACUACUGCGAAAGCAUUUGCCAAGGAUGUUUUCA
rnacentral:rRNA from 1 species